GAAGGAUCACCAAGAAAGUUGGAAUGAAGGAGAAACUCCACACCAUCAAGAGAACCACUACUACGUUCGCCAGCAGCCUUAAGAAUUUCAAUGCUGAGGGCAGCAAGUACGUGUUGAGGAACAUGGGGAAGAAGAUAAGCAGCAACAUUAAUUUGGCUGCUAGACGUAGCCGCUGUGAGGGCCAAGCAGAGUUCCAUGUCCUGACAACCUCUUUUCACAAACCACUCAACAACUGGCAAACAUCCCCUUUCAGCUGCUCUCAUCAGAGGACCCAAAAAAGCUAUGGC
rnacentral:misc_RNA from 1 species